rnacentral:lncRNA from 1 species
UCAUAAACCGGCUAUCAAAGCUCAAAUAAUCGAUACAAGUAUGUACAUCAAACAUCAAUAAAAGUCCAGCCACACAAGAAAAAUAUAGCAUAUGAUAGCUCAUAAACCUGUAUUAUAGUUUCAAUGUCUUUUCUUCAACUUGAUCUGGUUUAAUUAUCUUUUCGACUUUGGGUCAAAUCUCGGUCACAUUUCUCAGCCUGUGGUGGGGCAACCAAAUUAUCCCAUUUUCAGCCUGUGGCAGGGCCUGCACAAUAUAGUUCCACAUUUCUAGCCUGUGAUGGGGCCUGCCAAAGUAUCACAUUUUGAGCCUGUGGCGGGGCCUGCACAUUAUAGUUCCACAUUUCUAGCCUGUAGGGGGCCUGCCAAAGUAUCACAUUUUCAGCCUGUGGCGGGGCCUGCACAUUAUAGUUCCACAUUUCUAGCCUGUGAGGGGGCCUACCAAAGUACCACAUUUUUCAGCCUGUGACGGGGCCUGCCAUAAUAACAAGAUAAACCCAAAGUCUUUUUCAUACAAUCCAGUUUACAUCCACACAUCAAUUCANNNNNNNNNNNNNNNNNNNNNNNNNNNNNNNNNNNNNNNNNNNNNNNNNNNNNNNNNNNNNNNNNNNNNNNNNNNNNNNNNNNNNNNNNNNNNNNNNNNNNNNNNNNNNNNNNNNNNNNNNNNNNNNNNGCAUGCAUGCAUCCAUCAUAAUACCAACUACAAGCGAAUACGAUCAUAAUAUCAACCACAAGCCAAUACGAUCAAAAUAUAAUUUAAUAUAAAACUAUUUUUGAUUUGUCUGGAUCAUAGCAUAUCAUACAUAUCUAAGUAUAAAAAUAUUAUAUCAUGCAGGAUUGGCGUACAAGGAUCCUUACAGAGAUUGUAGACUGACUCAAAUACGGAUCCGAAUCACAACCUACGCGCUGGAGUGCUGAGUCCCCUGAUCAAAAUCUCCUGGCACCGCCGACUCGUCCUCUACAACAUCAAUUAUAAAUCACAACUAAAUUAUUUAAUAUUUAAAUAUUCUAAACCAUAAUUCAUAUCUACUAUGGGGUCCAUCAUCAGGUCCCCAAACAUCUCAAUCCCUCCAAAUCUAGGGCAGUCAGGGUGGCCCGACUCCCACUCUUGUACCACCGGUCUAUGUCGUCGCCAGCCGUGGCCGCUGCCACGUCAGCGAUGAUGGCCGGUCCCGGUGAAGAGACCAAAAGAAAGGGAUGAUCCGUCUCUCUUCAUGGUUGGGAAUACAUCUCCUCCCCUCAAAUCCUUUUUGAUCCAAGGGCAACAACCAUGGUGGCCGUGCCCUCUCCUUCCCCAACCCGACAACACUACUGGCCGAACCAUCGCCGGCUGCCACUUUUGCAGUCGCCGGUGAUGGUGGCCGGCCAAGAGAAAGGGGAAGAAGAGGUCUCCUCUUCUUCCUCCCAUGAACCCGCAAAAGGGGUCCCCCCCUUUCUCCAUCAUCAGCCGAAAUCCACUGUAGCAGUGGCUCGGCCCCCACCCGACAGCAACUCCCGUGGCCACGAUCGUCGCCGCCGUCGCUGCCGGUGGCCUGCUGCCGUCGCUGCCGCCGACGUGAGGGAAAGGGGAAGGAAAGAGGAGACGGAGUCUCGAGGAAGAAGACCCCGGAUCCAUCUCUCCCCUCUCCAAUAAACCCUAGAAAUCCCAAAAUAAUUCUCUCACAGUCCCAACCGACCAUAAUGCCAUGGUUCUCGGCCAACCCCGGCGGCCGGCGGCAGCCAAAAAUUGGAAAGAAGAGGCCGAAACAGGGGUACCCUGUUUCGGGCUCUUCUCCGACGAUUCACCGGCCAACUCUUCACCCAUGCCACCCAAAAUUCAGGAAAUAAAACACAAAGGAAGGAUUACCUGGUCCGGUGGGGCGAUCCGGCGAUCCUUCCGGCGAGAAAUCGGAGGAGGAACCGUGAGCAACUCCCCUCGGAUCCACGCUUCUUCACCCGUCGGAAUCUUCGGCGAAGGGAAGUGGUCUUCCUCCGCGGUCGGCCGGAUCUCGACGCUUGUCUCCUCUCCGGCAUCAACCCCUCCGGCGACCAACCUCUCCCCGGACGCUGCCGCCGCUCUCCCCCUCCCCCCCUUUUUUUUUGUGGUGUUUCUCCCCCACGAUCGUGCCCUAGGCACGAUCGUAAAUGGUGGAUGGGCCCGGUCUUUUCGGGCCGGCCCGUCCAUCUUUUUUUUUUUUGGUAUUACAUACUCUCCCCCUUUUAAAAAAUUUCAUCCUUGAAAUUAACUUACUUGAAGCCUCAAACUUUAUAAAUAUGCAUCCAUUAUAUCAUUCCCGAUAUUUCAAAUAGUCUCCCUCUCGGAGUACCUACUCACAAGAUUUUGACAUACAAAAAUUACAGCAUCUCAAAACUUGAUCCUUUCUAUUUACCCCACGUAGUUAAGUUUUUUUUUUUUUUUUGAUCUCCUUCAAAAGAAUUCCAAACUCCCAACCUUGGAUUAAAAUGCCAUAAUUAUAUCCCAAAGAAAUUAAUUUCUCUUAAUUCUACCCAAAGAGCAUAAUUAGCUUGACAGAAAUAGGAGAAAUCUUUAGUAUCAAAUGCUCUUAAUAUUUUAUAAUCAUUUUUCUUUUCUUAACUUUGCCUGUGAUUAAAUGAUCAACCUUUAUCCUAGAAAAACCGCAAACCUGUUCAAAUAGGUAUAUUAACAAUGUCAGAGCUAGGAGUUGAAGAACUAUGUUAAAUCAUUCCAGGCCCAAACUUAAUCACAGAGCUAUCAAACCGUUAACGUUAAAUUUGAGAUGCCCCAAAAUUCUUCUUAGAAUUAUCAAAAAUAGGAGAGCCCAUAACUACUUCCAGUAGGCAAAGAAUCAACGACAUUCCCCUCUACUAGAAAACUAACUCAAGUCUUCUAUAAUAAUACCCUUCAGAUCAAGGUAUUAUCAUUAUUAUUUUUUUUUCUAAUCGGUUUCAAAAUAACUCAAACCACUACACUUCCGCUGCGCACUCUGACCUAACUCAUCAAAUUCUUUAAAGUCACAAAAUGAUUUCUGACCAAAGCAUCACUUUGCACCGAGAUUAAAAAAAUCCAAAUUUUAAAUUUUUAAAUAGAACUAGAGCAAAACGUCUAGAUCUUUUUGUCCUCGAUUUAUAUAGAGUAUACUUACUAUAACUAACCCCCAAUCCUUUAGUCAAGUUUAAGGUCACUACGUGAUCUCCACAACCUUCUUAGAAUUCAAAAUAUCUAAGUUUAAUUUAAAGGGGGUAAUUCUUGUAUUCCCUUAGCAAUUUAAUUAGAAAAUCUACAUUGAUUUUCCUUCCAACAGAAUUUACUUCAAAUUCAAUGGGUUAAAAGUCAUUGAGCCAAUGUCACUAUGAGUAGAAAUUAACUCUAUCAAUCUUCAAAUCUUUCUUCACCAAGGUUCUUAAUAUCCAUCAACAAUGCUAUAUAUGAUAAUUCAUAUAAGCAUCUCAUGACCGGAGUCUUUACUCAAUAUGACAUUUAUUAGUGGCUUCAUCAACAAUGAUAAAAGAUCCCAGCUCAAAUCUUAAACCUAGGCUUUAGUUUUAAUUUAAAACAUCAAAUAGUCUUCUACGAUUAUAAGUAAAAUCCAGUAGCCCAAUCCAAAUAUGAGAAUUCAAAUAAUUAGAAUUCUCCCGUCAAUAUAUAUACUCUAUGGCUUCAAAAUAAUCAAAUACAUUAAUAGAAAAUAGACCUAUUUGCAAUAUUCAACAUGCCAAUACCAGAUAUAAUCCACAUACAUUUUCAACUUCGAAGAACAUUCCUUUCAAUAUUAUGAAAUCUCCUUAGCUCAUUCCAAUACUAUAGAAGAUCUACGUACAAAUCCCACUCUAAUAAUUAGCAGCAAAACCAAAAGUACGAUUACAUCAAAAUCUAUAUCAAGUUUGAACUUCCAGGUCAUUUAAAUAAUAUCUAAAUAUAGUAUAACCGAUAUGCCAUUGUUGACCUUCCUACAAUUAUCUUAGGUCAAACCUCUCUUAUCAUGAUCAAAGACAAUUUAUCCGGUCCUUGUAUACUUGUAGAAUAUCAAACCCAAUACUUACAUCAUAAGCAUUGAAUUUAAUUCUACUACUUUUGUCAUAUCCCAAGUGAUCAUAACCUUAAGCUAUAAUACAUUUUUGUCGCAAACCCAAGUGAUCUUAAUCUUAUGCUUUGGUUCUAAUUUUGUCACUAAUCCCAAUGAUCUUAAAUAUCAAACUUUAAUGCCACUAAGGCCACAGUCCCUAGUAGUCUUAAACCUUAGAUUACAAUAUCAUUCUUGUUACAAUCUCAGGUGAUUAUAAACCAAGACUCUGAUAGUUUUCCUAUCAUAAUUCCCCACUCACACUCACCUAAACCUAAAGCCUAGGAUACCUUAACCUGGCUCUGAUACCACUCUGUCACGCCCGAAACCCAGCACCUGGGGUCUGGUGCGCGACCGGCCGCAUGAGCCCUAGAGCAGUGCCCUAAAGAUCAUGCAAGGCCUAUGAUUAACAAAAAUUCCAAUAAAUCCACAACUAAUCUAGUAAUUCAAACAGAGCAGUCCGACAUGUCCAAAUAAACAAAUUAGUUCAAUUACAAGAUCUUCAAAUGUUAAUCGACAUCAAAGAAGGACAAACAAACUAACUAGCUAAUGACUCUGAUACUUGCACUCUGCGCCCAUCCCAUCCAAAUCUAAGCAUCCUGCAACUCUGAUAAAAAGAAAGAAGAAAAGGGGAUGAGCUUUACAGCCCAGUAAGAAUACCUACACAUUCACACCAACACAAUAAUAAUAAAAAUCUGAAAACCACGACAAGUUANNNNNNNNNNNNNNNNNNNNNNNNNNNNNNNNNNNNNNNNNNNNNNNNNNNNNNNNNNNNNNUAUCAAACAUCAAUAAAAGUCCAGCCACACAAGAAAUAUAUAGCAUAUGAUAGCUCAUAAACCUGUAUUAUAGUUUCAAUGUCUUUUCUUCAACUUGAUCCGGUUUAAUUAUCUUUCCAACUUUGGGUCAAAUCUUGGUCACAUUUCUCAGCCUGUGGUGGGGCAACCAAAUUAUCACAUUUUCAGCCUGUGGCGGGGCCUGCACAUUAUAGUUCCACAUUUCUAGCCUGUGAUGGGGCCUGCCAAAGUAUCACAUUUUCAGCCUGUGGCGGAGCCUGCACAUUAUAGUUCCACAUUUCUAGCCUGUGAGGGGGCCUACCAAAAUACCACAUUUUCAGCCUGUGGCGGGGCCUGCCAUAAUAACAAGAUAAACCCAAAGUUCCUUUUCAUACAAUCCAGUUUACAUCUACACAUCAAUUUUCUUUUAUUUAUUUCCGGCUAUAAACUAACCACAGUCACGUUUCCAGCCCGUGACGGGGCAACCAAUAUCAUAUGGUUAGUUUAGAGCACCACAUCCAUCAGUCAAAUUUUGCAGGUGUAGAUUAUGCGCUUGCAUGCAUCUAUCAUUAUACCAAUCACAAGCAAAGACGAUCAAAAUACAAUUUAAAUAUAAAAAC